UACGGAGGGUGCAAGCGUUAUCCGGAUUCACUGGGUUUAAAGGGUGCGUAGGCGGGCAGGUAAGUCAGUGGUGAAAUCUCCAAGCUUAACUUGGAACUGCCGUUGAUACUAUCUGUCUUGAAUACUGUGGAGGUGAGCGGAAUAUGUCAUGUAGCGGUGAAAUGCUUAGAUAUGACAUAGAACACCAAUUGCGAAGGCAGCUCACUACACGAAGCCAUUGAUC
rnacentral:rRNA from 1 species